AUGCUUCAGCAGCACAUAUCCUAAAAUUGGAACCAUACAGAGAAGAUUAGCAUGGCCCCUGCAGAAGGAUAACAUGCAAAUUCGUGAAGCGUUCUGUAUUUUU